UCCUAACAUUACCCCCGGGGCCCGGCUCCAUGGGCUUGUAUACCACACAGGGCUCCACUGCAGUGCCUCUGCUCAGCCUCUAGACUGCCCUCCCUGUCCUUUCCCUGCGGAUUCCCACUCGGUUUAUACCACGUCCGGAGUCACCGCUUUCUCUGAGUGUCUUUCUCAGCCUUUCCCCUAACUGUCCCACGGAAAUCAGGGCUUCGGCUACGUUCCCCUAUUACUGUCUGUACAGCUUGUUUUAACAGGGUUGACCAUACUGGCUCUCCCGGGCUCCUUUCACUGAACUCCGACCACCGCCAUGGCACUACCCGUAACAUGUCCUACUGAGUCUUGGGGAAGACAACGGAAGAUUCUAUCACAGGCGUUCAAUAUUUGAUUUACUUCAAAGUGCCAUUCAUUCAUGAUCCAUUUGAGAUUUCUCGCGAUUCUUUAAAGAGCCUGGCUUCCAUUUUGAAAACAAAGUGAAAACUAGACUAUGAAGUUGGAAGGGGAUGGCAGACAGCUGUUAAGAUUGUGAACUCUGGGCAACUUAGUCUCUUUUAUGUCUACCCGGCAUUUUGAAUACUCCACGAAGAGAAGACAUGGCAGAGCACGUGAUAUACUAAAAAAGUCAAAAUUAAUUAAUGUCAGAAACACAAAUGAGGGCUGGCCAUGAACACUGGGCUGUGCUAGGAGGAGGGAGGCCGAGCUUUGUGCCACCCACCCUUGGCACUCUCCUCUAAGCUCAUGUACUAAACUCCCCGCCUGUUCUGAAGCUUCAGAAUUUCUCCGAGGCUAAGGAAGUGGAAAUACACCUCCGAUGAAGACCACCUCAAUCUUCCUUUCCCGGAAGCUAAAGCUCACAGGCUAGCAAUAGCCACAAGGCCAACAGCAUUUUCAGCCUCUAAGACUGUUUCAGAUGGAUCAAGCAACCUGCUUUCUGUGCAUACAGACUUGGCCCAAAGGUGUUGUUCAAACCCAGGUCUCUAUGCAAAAUAAAAGGUAAAAGAUACAGAAAAUCAAGAGACAGCAUUUCAUUGGGAUUAAAAGAAAGCGAUUAAAAUGAUAAAUAGUGGAAACUAGGCAUGACUACCCAGACAGGCAUUCACUUUGAAGUUCUGAGAAUAUGUGCUUCAGACAGUAAACACAGGAAAACUAGGCUUGCCUAAUUUGAUGGUACCCUGGGUGAAGUUUUCAGAGGUUGGCAUAACAUUUCAGAAGCUCAUUGAAACAAAGAUGUCAGCAGCAAUCAUUGCUGAUGCUUAGAGCUGAAUGUGGAAGUUAGAGUGCGAACAGAAUAGAAAUCACCAGGAAAGCUUUUCAUCUGGGAAUUACUGUGAUAUGAAGAAUAUUCUCUUAACUUAGACAUCACUGUAAAAUAAAAAAGGGUUGAUAUUAGAAAUAAAUUGGGACUUUGUACAGAUGUUCAUUUAGGUGUCAUCCACCCAAAGGGCUUGCUUCCAUGUAUGUGGACCUAUCUGCAUUGCCCCCGUGGCACGCCUGGGUUGGCUACCCAGAGGCUAUUUAAGCUGUGGGCUGGCUUUCCCCGGGGUCCGAGGAUUGUUCAAUGUUCCUGAAUAAACUGCAUUGAAAAAAAAAAGGGUUGAUAUUUGAGCAAAACAUAGAACCAAUAACAUGUUCAUAAGUCAUCAGGCAUACAUUAUUUAAUAUAUAUAUCUGCAAUCAAAGCACUCCGAAGGUGAAAGCAGCGGGAUAGAGAGUUGGAGGCCAGUCUCAAAAAAAAAAAGCCCUAAACAAACAAAGAAAAGCAAACAAACAAUGAAAACAAUCGAAUGUUUUUGAACAUUAUCUUACAUAGCUUUGAAGAAAUGUGAUCGGGUGUACCAUUUGUCAUUUUAUUGAAGUCAUUUAACAAUCUUCGCAGGUGUCCUAAAAUGUACUAUAGAAAAAAAUGGUUAAAAAGUAGUUGUUUAUCAUAGCUACAAUUAUCAGUUCUAAUAUGGAGAAACUUUUAGUAUUUAUAAUCUAAGUAGUGAAGUAUAAUUUUCUAUUAUCAAUUAUUGUUCCUAUUAUUCAA